rnacentral:rRNA from 1 species
UACGUAGGGUGCAAGCGUUGUCCGGAAUUAUUGGGCGUAAAGAGCUCGUAGGCGGUCUGUCGCGUCGGCUGUGAAAACCCGGAGCUCAACUCCGGGCCUGCAGUCGAUACGGGCAGACUGGAGUUCGGCAGGGGAGACUGGAAUUCCUGGUGUAGCGGUGAGAUGCGCAGAUAUCAGGAGGAACACCGGUGGCGAAGGCGGGUCUCUGGGCCGAUACUGACGCUGAGGAGCGAAAGCGUGGGGAGCGAACAGG